rnacentral:tRNA from 1 species
UAUACUAAAUACAUAUUUAGUUAUUAAGUAUUUAUUAUAAGACGUUUUGAAAUAAGAAUUAUCUAAAUAUUAUAUAAAUUCGAAAUUAUAUAAAUAAAAAGAAAUAUAUAUAAAUAUAUAUAUAAUUAUAUAUAAUGCGGAUAUGGUCGAAUGGUAAAAUUUCUCUUUGCCAAGGAGAAGAUGCGGGUUCGAUUCCCGCUAUCCGCCCAGGAUAAUGGGUAAAUAUAUGAAAUUCAAUCUAUUUUAUUUAUAUUUAAUAGAUAAAGCAUUAAUUAAGUUUAAGUAUAGUUAAGUAUAUAAGUAUAGUUGACCG